rnacentral:rRNA from 1 species
AUUGAACGCUGGCGGCAGGCCUAACACAUGCAAGUCGAACGAGUGGCAGACGGGUGAGUAAUGUCUGGGAAACUGCCUGAGGGAGGGGGAUAACUACUGGAAACGGUAGCUAAUACCGCAUAACAUGGGAUGUGCCCAGAGGGGAUGAGCUGGUGGGUGGGGUAACGGCUCACCGAGGCGACGAUCCCUAGCUGGUCUGAGAGGAUUACCAGCCAAACUGGAACUGAUACACGGUCCAGACUCCUACGGGAGGCAGCAGUGGGGAAUAGUGCACAAUGGGCGCAAGCCUGAUGCAGCCAUGCCGCGUGUGUGAAGAAGGCCUUCGGGUUGUAAAGCACUUUCAGCGGGGAGGCGUUACCCGCAGAAGAAGCACCGGCUAACUCCGUGCCAGCAGCCGCGGUAAUUC